rnacentral:tRNA from 1 species
UGGGCAGUCUGGUUGGUUAUCAUGCUAGUCUCACAUGCUAAAGGUCCUCGGUUCGAACCGAGGGUCAG